CCUGUGAAGGCGGAGAAGAACAACAGACAGCCAACCAUGUCAUCUCUGGGUGCCCGCUCUACCACCCACCAAAUGGAGCUGUGUCAGGGCCUGGCAGACAAUGACGUCAACAGAGACAACAACCAUGCUGCUUCAACACCCGGCUUGAGAUCUAACUAUUCCUUUGGUUUAUGUUUCAUUCGCAAGAAGAAGA